CACUAUCUUGUCUGUUGAGCUUGGAUUGGAGAGUCUUCAGAGUAUUCAAGCUAGCAACCUUGAGUUGAUCUUUAGGUCUGAAAAAUCUCCUAACACCUUGAUUGUCCCUAAAUUCCAUGACUGGAGUAGGUUCAUGAUGAAUUUUCUUUCCAGUGUAGGGAAUUUUCAGCCUUCUUUGCAGACUAGCAUCUGAGUUCCAUUCCUUCCUGAUCUCAAGGAUUCUCUUUAGUACCAUUUGCUUUGCAGGUGGUGUAAAUCCU
rnacentral:lncRNA from 1 species